CGGGUGCGUAACGCGUAUACAAUCUACCUUUUACAGGGGGAUAGCCCAGAGAAAUUUGGAUUAAUACCCCAUGGCAUAUAUUUAUGGCAUCAUAUAUAUAUUAAAGAUUCAUCGGUAAGAGAUGAGUAUGCGUUCUAUUAGCUAGUAGGUGCGGUAACGGCGCACCUAGGCUACGAUAGAUAGGGGCCCUGAGAGGGGGAUCCCCCACACUGGGACUGAGACACGGCCCAG
rnacentral:rRNA from 1 species